rnacentral:rRNA from 1 species
UACGUAGGGCGCAAGCGUUGUCCGGAAUUAUUGGGCGUAAAGAGCUCGUAGGUGGCGUGUCGCGUCUGCCGUGAAAGCCCAUGGCUUAACUGUGGGUCUGCGGUGGAUACGGGCAGGCUGGAGGCUGGUAGGGGCAAGCGGAAUUCCUGGUGUAGCGGUGAAAUGCGCAGAUAUCAGGAGGAACACCGGUGGCGAAGGCAGCUUGCUGGGCCAGUUCUGACGCUGAGGAGCGAAAGCGUGGGGAGCGAACAGG